rnacentral:rRNA from 1 species
CAGUAGCCGCGGUAAAACGAAGGGGGCUAGCGUUGUUCGGAAUUACUGGGCGUAAAGCGCGUGUAGGCGGGUCCCUAAGUCAGAGGUGAAAUGCCAAGGCUCAACCUUGGAACUGCCUUUGAUACUGGGGAUCUUGAGUCCGGAAGAGGUAAGUGGAACUGCGAGUGUAGAGGUGAAAUUCGUAGAUAUUCGCAAGAACACCAGUGGCGAAGGCGGCUCACUGGCCCGAUACUGACGCUGAGGUGCGAAAGCGUGGGGAGCAAACAGGAUUAGAUACCCGCGUAGUCCCUGUCUCUUAUAC